rnacentral:rRNA from 1 species
AUUGAACGCUGGCGGCAUGCUUUACACAUGCAAGUCGAACGGUAGAGGCUUCGGCCUUGAGAGUGGCGAACGGGUGAGUAAUGCAUCGGAACAUACCCAGUCGUGGGGGAUAACGUAGCGAAAGUUACGCUAAUACCGCAUACGUCCUGAGGGAGAAAGCGGGGGAUCUUCGGACCUCGCGCGAUUGGAGUGGCCGAUGUCAGAUUAGCUAGUUGGUGGGGUAAGGGCCUACCAUGGCGACGAUCUGUAGCGGGUCUGAGAGGAUGAUCCGCCACACUGGGACUGAGACACGGCCCAGACUCCUACGGGAGGCAGCAGUGGGGAAUUUUGGACAAUGGGCGCAAGCCUGAUUCAGCCAUGCCGCGUGCGGGAAGAAGGCCUU